UUUUCAAUAAAAUUUUAAUAUUAUAAAUAAUUUUUAUUUUUUAUAUUUAUCUGGAUAUUUUUUUAUCUUUUUAUAAUCUAUUUUGCAAUGGAACCCUACGAAAGACAAUGCUCGUAUUAAAUGCUAGUAUUAUUACAGAUAAUGAUUACGACAAUUUUUUUUUACUAAAAUAGAUGUAUCAUACAUUAACCCAUCCCUUUCAAACAAUUAUAGA
rnacentral:lncRNA from 1 species